rnacentral:lncRNA from 1 species
ACCUGGAAAGCCCACUUCUAAGAGUCAUAUACUGAAAGCAAUAAUAUGAGGAAAUCAGAAAGACAUAUCAAUCGUCUGAAGAGGACUCUACAUGACCCUGUAAGAAUAGCUCCA